AUUUAACGAAAGUGGCGAACGGGUGAGUAACACGUGAGCAACCUGCCUUACACAGGGGGAUAGCCAUUGGAAACGGUGAUUAAUACCCCAUAAGACCACAAUACCGCAUGGUAAAAGGGUAAAAGGGAUACCGGUGUAAGAUGGGCUCGCGUCUGAUUAGCUAGUUGGUGGGGUAAAGGCCUACCAAGGCGACGAUCAGUAGCCGAUCUGAGAGGAUGAACGGCCACAUUGGAACUGAGACACGGUCCAAACUCCUACGGGAGGCAGCAGCC
rnacentral:rRNA from 1 species